CCCUACCACUACCAUCCCAGAGGAGGCACGCAUGCCGGCGUACGGAGCCAUCACCAACCGCUCCUCCGCUCCUCUCGCUCUCCAACGCCCACGCGAUGCCGCCUGGAUCGGAGGAAUCGAAGGUCACCGCUCCGCUAUGUUCCGUUUCGGAGCCGAAACAACAAGCAUCCAUGGCCGCUCCGCAACCGAAGGCCAAAGGUGCCGCAUGAACGGCAGGGGAGCUGAAGGCUGAAGGCCGCAGGCGCCGGCCGCCCCGGUGUGAGAGGAAACAGGCGGGUUCUCGGGGACACCCUCAACGUCGUCCAUGGCCCACGUCCUCAACGAGGAAGGAAAUCAGCACAAUGAUCGAAUACCCGAUCGGUUCCAGACCACCCGGCGCGCUCCCCUCACAAGGAUCGAACCUCGUGGCGGCGGGCGAUGGCAGCAGCUCCGCGGUCCUGGUCCGCUCGUCUCAUCGUCCCAUGCGGCUUCGAGGUCACUACGUUCGGCCGUCGGUCCCCCGCGAACAACAUCAUCCACGUCCUCACCGACGCGCGGGGUUCAACAUGGCGCUCGAGACCUCCAGCAUCGCGGAUGACUUCCAGGCCGACGAGCGCGGCACCGGCAUCACCAUCUUCGUCCCCAUCGACGACGCCUUCCCCGGCCUCCCUUCCGGUGCUGCGAUUCCACGUGCUGCACUCCUACUACAGGCUCGGCUCCCUCGAGUCCAUCAAGAACCCCGUCCAGCCCACGUCCUCACCGAAGUGCACCGUGGCCGGCUGCUUCGUGCCUCCAGUUCUAGGUGGAGCAAACAUAAAUGUCGGGGUCGAUGUCGACGGAGCCAUUGAAUCGUGUGAUGUUGAUCCUGAAGCAGCCGGGCUCUGCAAUUGUGACGCUGGACGCUGCAAAGGAGAGGACAUCAUAGCCGGAGUUCGAGUUCGAGACGCAGAGGAGAGGACGCCAUAGCCAAAGUUGAAGACGCAGAGCAGAGGACGAGACGAUUCGGAGGAGCCAGAGUUAACCACGCCGACAACGAUCCAAGCAUCUUUGCUAUUUACCAUUUCCAGGUUGAUUGGUAAUGCAUGCCAAUUACUAUUUGUAGGUUAGGUACUUUCACUAUUUGUAAUAGAAAUGGUAAGAGUUUUAAGCAGGAGGUGGAGCUACUUUUUGUUUGUCAGUUUAAAUUUUACUAAUUUGUAACUGAACUUGAAGCUGCUGUAUCAGGUGACAGCUGGUGAGCAGGAUCGACAAUGGAUUGAUUAGUGUCACCAUCCUUUGGUUCUGAAGCAAUUCUUGAGGCGUCUCCGACCAGAACAAUCUGGUGCCUACCAAGUAUUGUCUACCGAGAUGCCAUGUUACUAGACAAAUAUAACACUAGGAUUAUCUCCAGUCAUGUGUUGUAGCUUCUACCAUGACCCACUGAACAAAAAUUAGCCAUGUUACUAGGCAAGUAUAAACACUGGGAUUAUCUCCAGUCAUGUGUUGCAGCUUCUACCAUGUUCCAGUGAACCAAAAUGAGCACAAUCAUUAAUUGAUGAUACUUUCAUAGAUCAAUAAUUUAUGUCCUUGGUUCUGCACUGAUUUAGUCAUAUUCUUUUUUAUCCCGAAUCUCCAUCAUCGAUUAUUUGUUCAAAUAUUUAUUGCAUUUAUGGAAAAAAACACUCCAUUUUAAUUCUAUUAACCAUAGAUUAAUCCACUUCAAUUAGUAACAACAUCCCAAGCUGAAACUACUGCGGUCUGGUCUGGGACUAGAGUCCCAUUUUUUGUCCACAAUGGAUUCAUUGAUUAUUACUUAUGUUCCACAGUUUCAGUUCAUAUGUGAGGACUGCCCUACGCUCAAGCAACGAGUUACGGCAUGGAUGGAGUGUAGGACGAAGUUCAGGUAAUUAUUUGGCAAUGCAAAAUGAGUACGUUUGUUAUGUUGAUCUGGCUUCCAUUUCUCACAUUGAUGUCUUUGACAACAUAUUUAGGCGCUGCAUGAAUAUAGAAGUGAUGGUCGGAGUAAUUGUGUGGAGAAAUAGAGUUGCAUUGAUUUUUCUGUGUCCAAACCCUCUUAUAACAUUUGGUGAUAUUUUAGGAUGCUGGGUAAAAUUGGAGCUCUCAUUAGUUCCGUGUUUUAGAAUUGAUAUUUAUAAUAUGCAUAGUUCUUUCUACAUUUAAAUUGGGAUGUGACAUAUAUAUACAAAAUCAUGUCUUCUUCACGAGACGUGCAUUGCACGUGCAUGCUUACUUAUGUAUACAAAAUCUUGUUCUACUACUUAUAAGUCAUAACUCGAUUUCAGGCUGUAUCUUCCUUUGUUUCACAACAGUUUACAUUGCUUCUUUUGUUUCCAUUUAUUAGGUUGAUGUACUAUUCUCUUCUUUAUAUAUUUAUACAAGGAGUUCUCCUCCAUGUUCUCAGAAAAACGGAAACGAGUUUUAGCUGCAUUCGAGAAUUGCAUUUUAAAGUAAACUUUCAGCCAUUAUUUUUAACCAGAAAUUCAGUGAUCUCUAUGCAAACAAUUCUCAGUUUUUAAUAAUCUUGCAGGACAUCAGAGAACAGAUGACACAUUGGUCACAUCCCCAGUAAAUGUGUCAAUCAUACUAAACCGUCGAUGGUUUCUAAUUUCCAAUAUUGAAAAAUGCUACUAUAUCUCAAGUAAUAUGAGAGUAUUGAUUAACCCAUUUUCUGUUUCUAAGCUAUCUUUAUUUUUCUUAGUUAUUUUGGUGUUUUGUUUGGCACAGAAGAUGGUUUCAAAACAGAGAGUUGUGGUUUUGAUGCUAUCUGUAAAGGUAAUUCAUAUAUAUCAUAAGUUUAUUAACAUACUUACUUCAUAUGAACAUUAUUCUUUUACUUCGUUAAUAUAUAGGCCAAUAUGUUCGCACCAUACCCUCAGGGCCAUUACCUUGACUGCCCAUUCUAGAUAAUUAAGCUCCAAGGCACUUGGUCAAUCUUAUUGGGACGCAUUGGUACUUACUUUCUGAUGAAGUCGAAUCUACUAUUUUAUUUUAUUUUAUUUUGGAAGCGCUAACCUAAUCUCCUGACAACUGUAAAAAACAAAUUGCAAGUACAUGUGAUGCACAUUGCCACUAUACUAGAGGAAAACUGGGCAAAGUUAAAUGUUGCUGCUUCUUUUUGGCAAAAUAAUGACCAAAACUGUAUUGUUUUCAGUGAUCACAAUCACAAAGAGAUGCCACUCUGAACAUCUGAACAUCUGAACAUCUAGAGAUGCCACGACGUGGUGGAACCCGAUGUCCAAGGGUGCAUAAUCAGUCUCCGGCUUGUGAGUUCGUCCUUGUUUCUCGCAUUGUUUUGUAAUCUGAUAAUGCUUAUGUUCUCAAUAUCUUAAAUGGCAAGACGAGAUUUUGGUGCCGCAUCUGGCACAUCUAUGAAGGCAUUAGCCAUCUGCA